rnacentral:tRNA from 1 species
GUGUAGGACAAUUUAGGAUACCUGCCUGACACGCAGGUGGUCGAGGGUUCAAAUCCCUCCCGGCCCA